AUUGAACGCUGGCGGCAGGCCUAACACAUGCAAGUCGAGCGGAUGAAGGGAGCUUGCUCCUGGAUUCAGCGGCGGACGGGUGAGUAAUGCCUGGGAAUCUGCCUGGUAGUGGGGGAUAACGUCCGGAAACGGGCGCUAAUACCGCAUACGUCCUGAGGGAGAAAGUGGGGGAUCUUCGGACCUCACGCUAUCAGAUGGGCCUAGGUCGGAUUAGCUAGUUGGUGGGGUAAAGGCCUACCAAGGCGACGAUCCGUAACUGGUCUGAGAGGAUGAUCAGUCACACUGGAACUGAGACACGGUCCAGACUCCUACGGGAGGCAGCAGUGGGGAAUAUUGGACAAUGGGCGAAAGCCUGAUCCAGCCAUGCCGCGUGUGUGAAGAAGGUCUUCGGAUUGUAAAGCACUUUAAGUUGGGAGGAAGGGCAGUAAGUUAAUACCUUGCUGUUUUGACGUUACCAACAGAAUAAGCACCGGCUAACUUCGUG
rnacentral:rRNA from 1 species